rnacentral:lncRNA from 1 species
CGAAAUUUUUUUUGACACGCUAGCUGCUGUAGUCGACUUGUUACCCCGUCGCCCGUCGAUCGUUCCCUCCACUCACUCCGUUGGCCUCUCUACUCCGCGUCAUCACUUUAGGUCGACGGUCUACCUCUCUCAGUUAAUGGUCGUCGGUUGUCGACUGCUGACCAAUUAACUAGCCCCUCUCUCCGUCUUUCAAAUCUUUGUUCUAAGGUAAUUUAUUU